GUUGUGAAUGUGGGGGGGAUCUAAUGGCUUCAAGGCCCUAAGAUUUUAAAGAGAAAAUAAAAGAUUUUCUCAUUUCUGUUUUCAUCUCCAAGGUUCUGUACGGUUAGGAUUAUUCUAAUGUCUAUCCUCUAGUUGUGUCUAUUGUUGAACUUUUGCAUGCACCAAAAUUCUUGAUGCUUAAUAUUCGUUACAUACAUCAAGUGUGUCCUUUGAUGUCAUGUUAUGGGGUCAAAAUAUCAUGUUUGGAUCUUUGGUUACUAUAUAAUAAGAAACGGUUCAUGUAAUAAAAUAAAA